rnacentral:lncRNA from 1 species
UAAACUACUCUUUCUCUCUCCUAAAUAUCAUUUAGCUAAAUAAAGGAAAGGAAGAAAAAUUUACUCUCUUAUUCCUACACUCCCUUGUCCGACCAUAAUAGAGAUGAAGAGAGAGAAAAAGGCUGCCAUUAAAGGAUAGCAAGAAGAGACGAGAAGAAGAUGAAGAAGAAAUCAAGAGGAGAAAAAUCCUAAAGGUAUAAAACUUCAAAUCUUAGUUGAUUUCCUAGUUUAUGUUCUUCAUUUUGAUGAAAUUAAUCAUGGAUCAUGAUAGAUCCAUGAUUAUAAGAAGUAUUAGGAUGUAUUAUGAUGUUUUAUGCUCAGAUGUUGUCAAUUUAAGGGUUGAUGAACUUGAACAAAGUAGAAGAUCAAAAACAGUUUUUGGUACAAAAAGCCCUAAACUUCAGUCCACUUUGGACCUUCACCAUGUGAAAUCUAUAACUUACUUUUGAGAUCCGUCAAAAACAUGUGUUAUUAGAUCCAUGAGAUAUCUAACAUCUCCACGUGGAAUCACUGAAUUAUUUUUUGUAGAUUUUCGUAUGGACAGUUUUUAGUAAAGUAGGCAAAAUAUGGAAAUACCAAAAAGAAAUCUGUUCAAAACUUUCUAGGGGCAUUUUUGGUAAUUUAAUUUUUGAAAUAAAUUCAGAACUUUUGGGACAUGAAAAUAUAUGAUAUAAAUAAGCUCAUGUCUAAAUUUGAGCUUAUUCUGACUUAAAUCAAGUGAUUUAUGGCCAUUUCAGUUUUAGGAUUUUUCCGACGGAAACAACUAUAACUAGAGUUCUAUAAUUCCGAUGACCACGAAAUUUAAACUGGAAGUUCGUGUUAAUAUAUGUAAGAUUCUUUAAAAAUUUGGAAAAUUUUGGAGUUGAGCAUGAUAUAGCUAAUUUUGCUAAGUUAUGAACUAAAAUUGACUUUUGAAAAAUAUUUAAUAAAAAGGAAAAAUUCCAAAAAAAUUAUUUUUGUGUAUGGAAUAUAUGUAUAUAUGUAUGGCAAAAAAUUAAAAAUAAUAAUAAAAUGAUUAAGGAGGCUUAAUGGGGGAAUUAGGCUUCCAACGGAUUAACAACUAAUAAUUACCGACAAGUCGGGAAUCGUCAAGAUAAUUUCUAUCGACUAGAUAUGUCGACAUGUGACAUAUGAGACUAUGAAAAGGUUAAUCACAUAAUUUUAUGCAAAUGUUAUAAAAAUGACAUGAGGGGAUGUGAUAGUUGGUAUAAGUCAAAAAGAUAAUUUUUAAUAAAUGUGGUAGUUAUGGACAUAAAUGGCUUAUUUAAAAAUAGGAAACGAAGUUGGAAAAUUUCAGGAAAAUUAUUUUGUGACUAAAAUAUUAUAUAUUGAAGUUUUUCAGGAGAUAGGAAAAUAAUAAUUUGAUUAGGUAUUUUUAAUACCCAUGAAUGUGUUAAAAAUAAAUAAGAAAAUUAAGUUAUAUUAAGUCAUAAAAUUCUAUAAGGUGAUUUUAUUGACUAAUAAUCAUUAAUAUGAUGUAUUAAGAUUUUAUGAGGGUAAUAUGGUCAUUUUAAAUAAAAUGAUUAAGAAUGACACGAUGUGUGUGUUAAAUAAAUUAAAUAGUAAGAGAUAAACAAUUAAAUUAAAUUAUUUAUAAAUGAUUAAUAAUAUUAUUAAAUGAUUAAAAUAUUAUUAAAGAAUUAAUAAUAUUAGUAAGUGAUUAAAAUAUUAUUAAAGGAUUAAUAAUAUUAGUAAGUAAAUAAAAUAUUAUUAAAUGGUUAAUAAUAUAAAAAAUUUCAUAAAAUAUUAUUAAAUAAUUAAUAAUAUUUGUAAGUUAUUAAGAUAUUAUUAAGUGAUUAAUAAUAUUAUAAAGUGAAUAAAAUAUUAUUAAAUAAUUAAUAAUAUUAGUAACUGAUUGAAAUAUUAUUAAAUGAUUAAUAAUAUUUGUAGAGUGAUUAAUAAUAUUAGACGAGAGUUUAAGAAUUAUUAUCAGAUUUAAUUACGAGAUGAUGAUUAACCUAAUCAAUUAAAUUCUCAUGGAGGAUGUAGGUUAUCAUUCGAAAGAAAUUUGUGUAAAUAAAUCAAAUGGGCAAUAAAGUGUUCUAGUAAGUCUUGAACACACGAUUAAAGCAUUGUGUAUCAAGAUUUAAAAAGGAAGAAUGAUGGAAAGUAAAGUGGAAUAAACAUAAAUAACUACCAAGCGUCAUUAUGUGGCUAAUGAUGGUUAUAUAUACCCUUAAUCGUGUAGGACAACGGAAGGACGAAUUAUCCUAACAGCGCAAUGAACGCUUUGAGACAGUUCUUCAGUAACUUGCUCUUAUGUGAUAAUGUACAUUAAACCAUGUUUACGAUAGUUAAUGAUAUAUGUUGCUUUAUGUGAAAUCAUUGAUUACAUGAAUGUUAUCUGAAUAAAUGCAAAGCAUGGAAUUUGUGAAGUAUGGGUUAAAUAUACAAUAUGAAGAUUAUAUUGUAUUGUAUGAUAAGUAUGAUUCAUAUAAAGAUGCAUAUCAUGAAAUGUAUAAUGCAUAUAUAUAUAUAUAUAUAUAUAUAUAUAUAUACGGGUAUCCCUCCGGAGCAGUUCGCCGCUCUACGCAACGAGAUUGUUCGGAUGGUGGUUACCUUACUACUGGACGCGUUUGGGUCGUUGCUGAGUCAGCCCUCGACUACUCAGGUAUACUAUUCAUCAUAUAAUUCAAGUAUAUAUUCUGCAUGUUAUGUAAUUUCAUUUAAUUAGUUAUCUUUAACUGUAUUAUAUAUAUGGACUAAUAAGUUACAUUAUAUUGUCUCAACAGCGUGACGAUCGGGCUGACGAUGCUGAGCGGUUGGACGACGACGACCCGUGACAUAGUUUUGUAUAUGAUUUGUACAUAUUUACUUAGUUUUUAGCUUAAUAUGAUGUAAAAUUUAAUUGUUUAGCUUAUUUUUGACGUAUUGUAGCUUUUAUUUAUGACUACUUUAGUUUGACAUA